CUGGAAUAACUGGAAAUCCCAAGUGGGCCCCAAAAAAAAGAAGUCCGCCCCCACAUCGGGUGUCCGGCAUCUGGCAUCUGGCAUCGUGACCCACUUGCGGCUGGGCCUUUCUGCCCAGCAACCUCCUACAUUUGACCUUGCUCAACAUUCGUAUGGUUUUCGCGGUCCGGCCAAGCCCCAAGCCAAAGGCUAAAUGGAGUUUUUGGCCUCUGUUUACAGGCCGAGCUUAAUCAAUCAUGAAUCUAUCUCUCCAUCUCUAUCUAUGUGUGUGUAUCUGUAUCUGUAACAGGCGACCUUCAUCUUUUACAAGCUGCUUUUGAGGCUGGCCAAACCUUUUGCAAAUGCUGAUUCAUGCUGCCCGUAGUCCGAGCAGCUAUGUAUCUACGUAUCUAUGAAGUUGUUGUUCAUUUUGCACAUUUGACCAUUGAGUCAAGGUGAACCGCGAACCGGGGCGCUAAUCUUGAUCUCGUUUGCCUUCUGCAUAUGUGUAAGUGUAAGUGUAUCUGUAGCUGUGCAUCUGUAUCUGUGUGUGUGUAUUAAUAAAUUCAAAUUAUUCAUUUGGCUAUCGGUUUAAA